rnacentral:rRNA from 1 species
GUGGGGAAUCUUGCGCAAUGGGCGAAAGCCUGACGCAGCCAUGCCGCGUGAAUGAUGAAGGUCUUAGGAUUGUAAAAUUCUUUCACCGGGGACGAUAAUGACGGUACCCGGAGAAGAAGCUCCGGCUAACUUCGUGCCAGCAGCCGCGGUAAUACGAAGGGGGCUAGCGUUGCUCGGAAUUACUGGGCGUAAAGGGCGCGUAGGCGGACAGCUUAGUCAGAGGUGAAAGCCCAGGGCUCAACCUUGGAAUUGGCUUUGAUACUGGCUGGCUUGAGUUUGGGAGAGGUGAGUGGAACUCCGAGUGUAGAGGUGAAAUUCGUAGAUAUUCGGAAGAACACCAGUGGCGAAGGCGACUCACUGGCCCAAUACUGACGCUGAGGCGCGAAAGCGUGGGGAGCAAACAGGAUUAGAUACCCUGGUAGUCC